UACGAAGGGGGCUAGCGUUGUUCGGAAUUACUGGGCGUAAAGGGCGCGUAGGCGGCGUGUCAAGUCAGGCGUGAAAGCCCCGGGCUCAACCUGGGAACCGCGCUUGAGACUGGCAUGCUCGAGUUCGGGAGAGGAUGGUGGAAUUCCCAGUGUAGAGGUGAAAUUCGUAGAUAUUGGGAAGAACACUGAUGGCGAAGGCAGCCAUCUGGACCGACACUGACGCUGAGGCGCGAAAGCGUGGGGAGCAAACAGG
rnacentral:rRNA from 1 species